rnacentral:rRNA from 1 species
GCGGCGCGCCUAACACAUGCAAGUCGCACGAGAAAAGGGGGGCAACCCCCCGGUACAGUGGCGCACGGGUGAGUAACACGUGGGUGAUCUGCCCCAGAAGAAGGGGAUAACCUCUCGAAAGGGGGGCUAAUACCGCAUAGGACCACCGGGGACUCUGGGCUCUGUGGUGAAAGGGGGGCCUCUGUUUACAAGCUCCUGCUUCUGGAUGAGCCCCGCGUUCCCAUCAGCUAGUUGGUAGGGUAAUGGCCUACCAAGGCUACGACGGGUAGCUGGUCUAAGAGGAUGGCCAGCCACACUGGAACUGAGACACGGUCCAGACUCCUACGGGAGGCAGCAGUGGGGGAAUCUUGCGCAAUGGGCGAAAGCCUGACGCAGCGACGCCGCGUGGGGUGACGAAGGCC